AUAACAAUACCUUACAUUUACACACUGUAGUGUGUCUUACCUUUACUCAUAUGACACCAUUAAAGCACUGUUUUUUUGUAUUAAUGACAACAUUAAAAGCUCACACCAGAAGACAGGAUCUAGACAAACUAAAUUAAAAUGAUUACAGAAAUAUCAUAAUAAUAAUGAGCUACAUGCACAUACAUAACCAAAUAAAACAUUUUUUUUGUAAGAAUAAUGAUUUGUUAUAGAGCUUUUAGUCAGCUUGAUAAAUCGAAUACAUCUUGUUAUUUAUCCAAAAUGUUACCUUUGUGUUCCAUCUUGUUAAUAAGCAAAGUUAGAUGCCAAUUCUAACUCUGUCUGGAGUUACAUCGCUCAUUUUAACUCCAUCUGACUAGAAACACAUUUAGCAGGUGUUAUUAUACUAAUUACUGCUUCACAACAUUGUCUCGUGACUGGAAACUCGAGUCUACUUGUGAAGACCAUACAAAUGCAACAUUCAACGUAAUGUAGAAUAGGGAGAAAGAAAUGAAUAAAAUCUAUAAAUAAUAAACUAAAUAUACAGUAUAGAAAAAAUAGUAAAUAAUAAUAAAACCUAAGAAAAUAAGGAAUUAACUACAACACUAAAUGUAUGUCUGUAGUCUCAAGUCAGAAUUUUAUCAUCUUUAGAAAAAACACUCACAAAUAGGUUGCUUUUAGGAAAUUCAGAUUUUACAAUAUAUCAUUCCCUCCUCUUAAUCAUACUAGAGAACAUUUUAUCACAUAUGAUUAGAAAUCGAAGUUGAUUAAAAACAAGCAAAUUCUCAUAAUCAUAAAACAUCUCUUUGAAAUGCUUGAUUGAAACCAUUUUACAUGCCCUUUAAAACGGACAGGUCAUGUUCUCUAUCAUACUGCUUAUUAGCAUCAGUUAAGAGUAUACUGUAUGUCUAGACUUAAUGGUUUGUCUUCAUUGAGACCAUCAUUGAAUAUCUGACAAAGCAAACAAACAAUUUCAAAGUAAUGUACAAGAGCAAAGAUGAUAAACACUUCAUGACAAAUGUAGAAAUGCUUCAAAAAUAAUUAUGUUAAUUUAGAUCAAAGACCAAAAGAAAUAUAGCUGAGGACACAGUUUACUUAAAGUUGACUUUUCAGAGUGGUGUAUAGCUUGCCCUGUCAGCAAUUUCUGAUCUUCUAAUUAUGAACCUUAAUUUCUCAAAACAGCUCUGUUUUGAAAUGUAAACAUCCUUGCAGAGUUUAGGAAGUCUUGAUAGCUUUGUCUCUCAGCAGACUAGUCUCGAGGUUGCAACAAUCGUCUUAUCCCAUCUGCAGGUGGUUGUCGCCGUGCAGCAUCUUUCAACAAGGCCUGAAUCUCUCUGUAAAUUCCUUGAGCCAUCGAAAGUCUGUGAAAAAAAGCAGAGUCUCUUCUUUUAGUUGGUUUAGUUAACCAAUGGUGUUGGAAUUGCACCUAAUUUAAACCAUUUUGAAUUUAAUAAAAAAAAACUCUGCCUAGAACUCUUUCUAGAGUUCACUCUAUUAACUCUAUGAAUUACUUCAUAAAAUUGUCUUGUGACAUUAUAACGAACCUUGAGAAUGAGACCACUGCAAAAUACAAAUGCAGCAUCCAAAAGAAUGUAGAAUAUAACUAGUGUAGGUAGAAAUAAAUGAAUAUAUUCUAUAACUAAUAAAGUAAAUAUAUAGAAAAAUAAAGAAUAAUAAUUAAGAACAAAAAGGAUGAGGAAAUAAGAAAUUAAACACAAUACAAAAUGUAUGUCUGUACUCUCAAGUCAGAAUUUCAUAAUCUUUAGAUAAAAUACACACACACAAACAGGUUACUUUUAAGAAAUUCAGAUCCUUCGAUCUAUCAAGAGGGAAGACUGCUGGCUGCCGCUCAUCUCUUACAGGAACUCACUGCAGGCAGGUGGAGAUGAUUACACCAUGUCUGCGGUCAGUGGUAUCAGCAUGAUCCCUCCAUCAGGAGCAAAAAGGCUAAGCCUGCCACCGCUAAGAGGAAAAUCCAAGAAGGAUGCCAUGUAAGAGACAUUCCAGUCAAAAUGUAACCUUUGACAACAAUUCAACUCACUACAAGGGGUCAUAUUCCUUUUUUACUACAUCGUAGAGUAAAAGUUCUUGGCAAAGGUUUCUUGUAAACAUGAUCUUCCAUUGAUGUAUUUAUUUGUGAUCUCACAGUAGCAAAACUUUAAAUUAGUUUUUUAAAUAAGUCCUUUAAAGAUUUUUUUUACAUGCAACACUGCAUUUUGUAAUUGUUUACAGUUAUAUUGCUGUCAAGCUAGCAGUUGACGAGGGACAGGCCUAAUGUGGGAUAAUGAGGAACUCAUUGUGGAACAUGUGAUGAUAUCAUCGGAAGGCUGAAAUCGAGGAUCUCAAUGGCAUGGACUUUGACACCAUGAAUAUUGAUCUGCUCCCAUCGAGGAACCGGCGAGAGGGAUCAGAACUGAAGCUCGACUUUUCCGACCCUUCCUCCAUCAUGGAUGAGUCUGUAAGAAGCACUAAUUUCCUGUGUUAUGGUUUUCAGCCCUAAUGAGGACUUGUUCACUCCACCUUUAAGGACGUGAAAGGGAGACCACCACUAGAUGGCACUAGCGGGAGUGAUUUCAGAUUUAAGAAUUGAGAGGGAAAGCAUAAUAUUACUAAUCUGGAUUGAUGAUGAAAUUAAAACAACUGUUUGGUAACCUUAAACACUGAACUGGAUUUGAACAUUUUCCCUUGUAGGCUCUGGAAGUGCCCAUGUUUUUAGAUUAAAAUUGGAGAAGUGUGAAGAGAAGGGACAUUUUGUGUGAAUUCAGAUCGAUUCUCUAAAGAGAAAAUUCAAUGGAGCGAUUGGCAUCCA